AUUGCCUUUCAAAACAAAUGCAGUCAAUUCUAUGCGACUGAUUUUAAAAGUCCAAUAACAAUCUGUGAAGUCAUCCAAAUUUUACAAAUUUUAGGCAAGGACAUUUUGAGGUUACAGUAAAUGGUUAAUUGUCUUUAAAAUUUUCUACGACAAAACCAGGGAUGUGUCUCCAUUUUUGUCUUCAUUUGAAACAUAGCCUUAAAAAGGCAACUCUUGUUUUAGCUACUUAGCACACAACAGCUUUCUCUAAUGAUGGUAAAAUUAAAAAGUAAAUGUGUGGAGGUAAUCACUAAUUUAUUUCUGGUUUCCAGUUUUUGUUUUUUCCAGACUUUGAUGAAUUGAUAAAUUAUUGAGAUUUCAUCAUUCUAGGUACCAUAAAGAACAUGCAGAAAAGAUGAAGAAACCAAAGAAAGAACAUUAACGCUUUCCUCUGUCUUGCUCUCAGUUUUUGGAGGUAUUUUUAUUAUCCUGAAGGGAAUAUUUGUAAAUGGUUAGUUUAUCUCACUUAGACCAUCUCACUUCAUUAGGAUGGGACGUCCUUUAGAACAAACAUUACUAAAAAUGACUUCCAUUUAUUGGGCCCUUAAUAUGUUCAAAGCAAAAUAUGAACAGUUUACAUAGGUCAUUGCGUUGAUUUCUCACAUGAAUCUUAAAAGGUAGAUCUUUUUAUUAUCCUCAAGUUGAUGAUAAGGAAACAGAAAUCCCAAGUAAAUUAUCCAAGAAAAUAAACCAGGGUGAUGAAAUAAGGGAUAAGGCAAAGAGUCAACCCCAGGUCUACCUGAUUUGAGAGUCUACCGUUUAACUACUACAAUGAAUUAUCUGUAUUUGGUUGUUUGGGAUAAGCAAAUAAAGUGAUAUAUAUGAAGGGAGUGUUCUCUAGACAGAAUAUAUUUGAGGAGACAAAGAUAAUCCAAUUCAACUAGAAUGGAAGUAAUAUUUAGAUAAAAGAGAAAAAAGAGAAAAGAUACUCGGGUAUCUAAAUGAUGAUAAAUAAAGCAUAGGACUGUGGAGAACUGGUCAUAAAUUAUCUACCCUGUUUUUUUUCCCAAGCCCAAAUAUCUGAGUGCUUAUUAACUACUCUAAGUCACCACAGGGAACAUAAGGAUGAGGCCAACAGGGUCAUUGUCUGACCUGCCAGUGCCAGGCCACGGGGGAUAAUUUGCCAAUGCCUUGAGAGGAGAAUAAGCAAACCCAGAGUGAGAAACCACUUCUGCAUGUGAAAUGUGGUGUAAGUCACCUCCACUGAAAGAGUAUUAGACAAAAACAGAAGAGACUAAAAGCAAAGAACAUCAGUACAGAUAAGACUGAACAAAUGGAAGCAUGUGAGGCCCUGAAGACCCCAAAGCAAUUGCAGAAAAGGGAACAACAAAAAGGAAAUCACAGUCAAAGCUAAACAGUCAAAGCUUUGGACUCAGAAAUGCUAGAAAAAGAUGAGUAAGUGCUUGUUGUUGAGUCGCUCCCAGAAAGGCUGAAGUGCAGCGCUUUGAAUAAUUUUGGUGCUGUUUUAUCUGAUUUUAUAUUCAUCAAAACAGAAGUAAAUAAGGAAGGGAAGUGGAAUUAAUUGUUCCAAUCAACAGGUUUUGAGUGAGCCUAUCUCAGGGCACAAAAGGCUACAUUAAACUAACUACUCCAGUGAGAAAGAUGUCACUAAAUACACAAGUCACGCCUCCGGGUGCAACGGAGACAGUUGAGGAUGAAAUGGAUGCUCUGAGUGGCUUUUGCCAAGAUGACGGGAACACUGAAGGGCUAAUACUUGAGCUGUGCUUGGAAGAGAGGGCAAGGUUAGAGAGACGUAGAUGAUAAGAGAGCUUUCGGGUAGAAGGAAUCCAUAAAGUCAGAACCACCAGAAAGGACAGAUAUUUUGAGUGCAACAUCAUUCUGAGAACAUAAAAUCCACAUUGGGAAAAAGCAAGAGCCGACGCUGGAAGAGUAUAUGGUAGGAAUUGAUCUGGAAGCGUCUUAAAUGCUGACUUAAUGACUUUGGACUUCCUCUGGCAAAUAAUCGCCUUACGUCCCUUCUUAGAACCUGAUGUGGAAGAGGCACAUUUCUCAGAGAACAGCACAAUGCAAUCCAAGCUCUCAAGGAACUAAGUUAACAGAGACGGGCUUUUCAACGGAAAGCACAAUUUUGAGUAUUGUGAUCUGCCUGAAUGGGGGAAAUUUAAAUAAAUCUCUGUGACAAGCCGAUCAUGCUGAACAGAAACUAGAUUAGGUUUUUCAGAAACUGAAGUGUCAAAAAUACAUUUACGAAGACCUAAAGUAUUAAUUUACACAUACAAUUUAGUGUUGUGUAUGUGCAUGUUGAGUGAAUGAAAAGAAAAACUAACGGUCAUAAGUGGAUGUCUCCCCCAAAAGGUAAAGAAUUUUUUUUUUCAAUCUAUUUCCAGGAAACUAGGAUAUGUUAUUGAAUAACAGGAUUCUCAAAGUAAAUACAGAGAAAGUUGUAGCCCAAAUUGGAUAUUCACAAAUGGGAAUGAAAAAGCAGGGGCAGCUCUGGUUUGGAAGUGUAUGUGAGUAUAUGGAGGUGUUUAUAUGUGCACAUGAAUAUACUCUCCCACAGAGCAGUGUUUCUGUAAAGGCUAGGAUCGUUUUAUUACGUAAUAAUCAUCUUACUACAGACAAACUGCAUGGCGAAAAAUGGAAGCCAAAGGUUUACACAACUCCAGCCAAGGAAAGACACCCCUAACCAAUUAUUUUCUCUGUGUACACAUAGGAAAAUACUAAUUGUCCCCUGUAAGGUAAGACUCAAGGUAAACUGGUUUUAAAUAAUUACAUACCCAUAAAAUCCAAGAAACUAAUUUUCCUUCUUCUUUCCUUAAACUGUUAGCAGUCCUAUAACUUUAAAUUUCAUGCAGAAGCAAUUGUUAGUAAACAUUUUAAAUUUAUAUUCCAGAUGUUAUAGGAACUUUAGAGUGACCAUCCUAUAACUUAAAACCGGGGGUUCUAUAAUUGAAAUUAAACAUGAAUCGACCAGUCUUCGAGUUGAGGUUCAAAUCUUGCAAAUGCUUAAUUCAAAAAUAGCUCAAUUUUCUUAUUCAGAUUUAUUAAGUAUACAUGUAAAUUCCCAUCAUUGAUACUUUUUUUCUGUAGAGAUAUAUAUACUAUCUUCACUGUAUCCUGAAGAACUGUAACUUCGUUAAUACAACUCUGUCUUUGACAAAUCUCCCUGAGAUGUGGAAGGUAUACAGAGCUUUUAUGUGUAACUCAUUGUCUCUGUAUUUCAAGGAUUCCAAUCUGUCCUUGCCCACACAGUCAGAGAGAAAGUAGACAGACCACGAGUUCCUGUUGUGACUCAGUGGAAACAAAUCUGACUAGUAUCCAUGAGGACACAGGUUCAUCCCGGGCCUCGCUCAGUGGCUUAAGGAUCUGCCGUUGCCAUGAGCUGUGGUGCAGGUUGCAGAUGCAGCUCGAAUCUGGCAUUGCUGUGGCUGUAGUUUAGGCCAGCAACUACAGCUCCGAUUCGACCUCUAGCCUGGGAACCUCCAUAUACCUUGUGUGCAGCCCAAAAAAAAUAAGGAAGUGGACAGACCAAAGCCUUGACAUGUGAACCUCAUAAAACUUUACUAGCCUCAUAGCCUCAUCCUUUUCUAGCAAUGUAGCCUUGGGCAAAUCACUUGACAUUCUUCAGCUAAAUACUCCUCCUCUUAUGAAAUGAUUAUAAAUGAUAAUAGUCCUUUGGAGGUUGUCAAGAUAGCUAGAGAUGGUGGAAUGUCCCAUAGUAAGUCAUCAAUAUAUAUACAUAUAUCCCUUCCAUUUAAUUGUCCAAUCUGAAACUGUAAACCCAGUGUGAGUUUUGCAAUGGAGGUUUUGUUUUCCAUUAGGAUGUUCUUGGCUCUGUAGCCUCCUGGUCCUCAGCUCACUUGUUCAAGUCCUUCUCCUUCAAGGUCUUGUAAUGCUCUGAGUGCAGGAUUUAAGUUUAGUGACUCAUUUCUGACCAUUUGCACCAUUAGAAUGCCCUAAUCAAUGUACUUUUAAAAAAAAAUUUCUUUUUUCAUUUUUGGCUGUCCUGAGGCAUAUGGAGUUCCCAGGCCAGGGAUCAGAUCUAAGCCACAGUUGUAACCUACAUUGAUUGCAGUUACAGCAACGCCAGGUCCUUUAACCCACUGUGCUGGGCUGAGGAUUGAACCUGUGUCCUGGUGCUACGGAGACACCGCCCAGCCAUCCUGUUGUGCCACAGCAGGAACUCCCAUCAUUUUUUUAAAAAAAAUUUCUUAGUGCUUUCUUAUUCACCUCAGUCCCUUUCAGAAAAAAACCUUAUCAUUGACUUCCAAUUCUACCACUUGGAGAGAGUAGGUUUGCUCCAUAUUGUCAACCAAAGCCUGAUACAAGGGAUACUCAAGCAUCCUGGACAGGAGCGCACUGGAGGCUAGAAUUACUGAAUGGCUUCUCUUCAGAAGUGGUGAUUUGAGGGAAGAACUUUUUUCAAGCAUGGCUUUUUGUUUCUUAACCGAAGUGUGCUAGCAAGAAACAGUUCUAAGUGGAGAAACAGGAAAACAUGAGAGAGAGGCUGUCAAUUUGUUUCCUAAAGGGAUCAUUUUCCAGCGGCAUUGUGCCAGAAAGCUGGUCUUUCCCAGAGUCUUUUCCCAUCCCUCAAACUCAGUUACAGACUGUGUGCAGGGUCAGUGCAAUUUAUGUCAUCAGUCAGAAAAGCCACACUGGAGAGAAAUGUGAGAUGCGGGUUGUGGUUAGUGUGACCGUGAGGCCAGACUGAACGGUGGUGCCAGGAGGUUCAGUGUGGUGUAAUCAGAGGGAGACAAGGAUGUGACCAAGGUAAUCAUUUGCUUUAAGAGUCUCAGGCCAACAUGAGGUCUUUGGAGGAUAAGGUGGCCUGAAACUUCUUUUAAGGGAGGAUGUGGACAAAUAUCUUAAAAAAAAC
rnacentral:lncRNA from 1 species